rnacentral:rRNA from 1 species
UACGGGGGGAGCAAGCGUUGUUCGGAUUUACUGGGCGUAAAGGGCGCGUAGACGGCCACCGCAAGUCGACUGUGAAAUCUCCGGGCUUAACCCGGAAAGGUCAGCCGAUACUGCGGGGCUAGAGUGCAGAAGGGGCAACUGGAAUUCUCGGUGUAGCGGUGAAAUGCGUAGAUAUCGAGAGGAACACCUGCGGCGAAGGCGGGUUGCUGGGCUGACACUGACGCUGAGGCGCGAAAGCUAGGGGAGCGAACGGG